rnacentral:rRNA from 1 species
GACGAACGCUGGCGGCGUGCUUAACACAUGCAAGUCGAACGAAGUGGCGAACGUGUGAGUAACGCGUAAUCAACCUGCCCUUCAGAGGGGGACAACAGCUGGCAACGACUGCUAAUACCGCAUACUCAAGGAGGGGACUGCGUCUGAUUAGUUAUUUGGAGGGGUAACGGCCCACCAAGGCGAUGAUCAGUAGCCGGUCUGAGAGGAUGAACGGCCACAUUGGGACUGAGAAACGGCCCAGACUCCUACGGGAGGCAGCAGUGAGGACUCUUCCGGAAUGGACGAAAGUCUGACGGAGCAACGCCGCGUGAGGGAUGACGGCCUUCGGGUUGUAAAGCUCUGUUAAUCGGGACGCGGUACCGGAAUAGAAAGCCACGGCUAACUACGUGCCAGCAGCCGCGGUAAUAC